UACGGCCACGUCAGGUUAAAACACCGGUUCUCGUACGAUCACCUAAGUUAAGGAAAGUCAAACCUGGCCAGUACUUAGAUGGGUGACUGCUUGUGAAUACCAGGUGCAGUAA
rnacentral:rRNA from 1 species